CCGAUCUUCUCGGCCUCCUGUAUCCCGGUCGUGUCCCCGUCCCCGCUGUGGCGGCCGGAUUCCUGACGUUGCGACUGGAUCACACCGCGUCCUGCCCAUCCACUGUCCCACCGUCAACACCUUCCUUUUCCAACGAUGGUGAUGCCGCCCAAGAUGGUGGUUGUGCCCCCGCUCUCUGGACGCAUCAUCACGAUAGAUGUGACCAAAGGGCAGCACGAACAGGAAGCGAAAAGCCUCCUCCUGCAGCAGCGGAGGCGAUUGGGAUGGAGCCGCUGCCACCAUUCCCCCGCCACUCUGUUUUCCCGACAAAUUCCAUGUCAUUUUCAGAGCUUCAAGUGAAUGGAGGUCGAAGGGUGCUUUAGGAAAUUAUUGUGGUGGUCACGGGGACGUCAUGCCAAAGUGUUCACCAUGUCCAAUUAUUGAUAGCUGGAAGACAUAAGUCAGGUGGCUUUUCUUGUUCGGAAUUUACUCUAUGGUCUCAUUAACAUGUUUGCAAGCUCUGUAGUAUACAACUUAUGGUUUUCCCUGCGGAAUUGCUUCCUUUACUUGUGCAAGAGGCAGAGGUGCACUCCUCUACAUGGGAGCAUGUGUACUUCUUCGGGUCACAACAAUUCAUAUGCAUACUAGCUGCAGAAUGGCGAAGCCACCAAGAAUGCAGAAACUAGCUCAUAUGUUGCGAGGAAUCACAGACCUAAUAACACAAUGCUGUCAUGAGAACGGGGCGCUCUCAUGAGGGACAUGGAGGGCCAGGGAGGUGCAAAGAUCCAUGAAACAUGUAUUGCCGUCCUCAGCGAUAUAUCAUCUUUCUAACACUUUCUUGUUCGAGUUAAUCUUUUGGUUUUCUACUGUUCCAGUUGUAUCUCCAUGGAUCUGGAAGUAUUUGUAUUGAUGAAAGGUGUCAAGUAUUCUUGGUAUGUAUCAUUGACAACAACAGUUUUGCACUAUAUGUAAUGAGCUUUCCUAACACCGUUGAGUGAGCUAUUUGUUUGGGAAAACCUGCAAUCUCAG
rnacentral:rRNA from 1 species